CUCAAUGAAAAUUAAAUAGCCGCAAAAUAAUUGUGCUAAGGUAGCAUAAUCAUUUGUUUUUUAAUUAAAAACUAGAAUGAAAGAUUUAACAUUUUUAUUCCUUUCUUAUUUAUACAAAUUUAAAUUAUUUUAAAUAUAAAAAAAUAUUUAUUAAUUAAAAAGACGACAAGACCCUAUUGAACUUAACUUAAGUUUAACUGGGGCAGUUAAUUAAAUAUAAUUUUAAUUCAAGCCUUAAAUAAAUCUAAUAAAAUUAAAUAACCAAGUUACCAUAGGGAUAACAGCGUAAUAAUUUUUUAUAGAUCUUAUUUAAAAAAUUGUUUGCGACCUCGAUGUUGAAUUAAUAUUCAAUUAAAUGCAACAAUUUAAAAUAGAAAGUC
rnacentral:rRNA from 1 species